rnacentral:rRNA from 1 species
UACGGAGGGUGCGAGCGUUGUCCGGAUUUACUGGGUUUAAAGGGUGUGUAGGCGGACUUUUAAGUCAGGGGUGAAAUCCCGAGGCUCAACCUCGGAACUGCCUUUGAUACUAUUGGUCUUGAAUGUUGUUGAGGUGGGCGGAACGGGUCAUGUAGCGGUGAAAUGCAUAGAUAUGACCCGGAACACCGAUUGCGAAGGCAGCCCGCUAAGCAACUAUUGACGCUGAGGCACGAAAGCGUGGGGAUCAAACAGG